rnacentral:lncRNA from 1 species
AUGUCAACGGAACGACAAAUUCUGCACGACAUAGUUAAUACAAUUUCAGGUCAGUCAAGAUUGAAAACUAUGUUUAAUACAAUUUCAGGUCAUUGAAGAUAUUGAAAACUAUGUAGUCCGAAUGACAGGCUGGUAUGAAUGGGUUUGGUUGCCACCAUUGAAGACCAUGUGGUGUGAUAUUCUCCGUUGGGGGGGCCACUUCACAGUUUUGCAUCCCUGAAAUUAGUCUAUUUUUAGUACGCGUUAUUGAUUUCUGUAAAUUACAAG